rnacentral:rRNA from 1 species
AACUUUCAGCAACGGAUCUCUUGGCUCUCGCAUCGAUGAAGAACGCAGCGAAAUGCGAUAAGUAAUGUGAAUUGCAGAAUUCAGUGAAUCAUCGAAUCUUUGAACGCACCUUGCGCUCCUUGGUAUUCCUUGGAGCAUGCCUGUUUGAGAGUCUUGAAUAUCUCUGCUCUUACUUUUUUUAAUUAAGGAAUAACGAGUC